GACGGAGGAUGCAAGUGUUAUCCGGAAUCACUGGGCGUAAAGCGUCUGCAGGUGGUUUCCUAAGUCCACUGUUAAACCUUGAGACUCAACCUCAAAUCUGCAUUGGAAACUAGGAGACUUGAGUAUAGUAGGGGUAGAGGGAAUUUCCAGUGGAGCGGUGAAAUGCGUAGAUAUUGGAAAGAACACCGAUGGCGAAGGCACUCUACUGGGCUAUUACUGACACUCAGAGACGAAAGCUAGGGGAGCAAAUGGG
rnacentral:rRNA from 1 species